GAAGAACUACGUUCCCCAGAAGGCUGUUCGAGUACUGUUGUAAUUCCUGCUCAGGGGAACAGAUAUAAGGCCUGUAGGUCACCUGACCUGAGUAGCCUUCUUUCUUUCUUCUCGUCUCAUCAUGCUCGCUUUUGGUUCGUCUCGCUGCUGCUCCUGACUGCACGCAAGGCUUCAGUAUUAGUAUGUCUACAGGGCAAGUUGAAACCAGUUUGGGGGAUACCCCCCCCUUCAGGGUCAGAAGUUUGCAGUGAGGAAGACCACAAGCCUUCGUGAGGAAGACUAUGAGCCUUCAUCAUCAUGACCUACUACGCAUGUGCAAGUUGACGUUGGAUCAGAUCCAGAACAGAAGUUUUAUAUUAAGCACCUCUGCAUACUGCUGUCAGCUUGCACCAAAUUCAGCAGAAUGCUGCUGAUAACCAUGGAAGCUCUAUAAUGAAAACUCAGACAUCCUUUACUUUCCUUCCUGCCCUUUCUGAUGCUUCUCAACAACACUGAAAGUUACUACCUGUGAUCAAGUUCAGUCACCACUGCCCCUGACCAUCAAAAGUAAUGGUGAAUUACAGUCAACCGUGAAUAAUAAAUUAUCCCUGAAAAUACUCCACUUAAACCUAAAUGUUUCAAUUUGUGUUUUGUCAUAGAAGACUAGGAGAAAACAAAGAAUAAGAGGUCAAAAUACACACAUUGUUUUUGGGGGACUUUUGUUGUUGUUGUUGUUUUGUUUUUGAGUAAAUACAAUACAAAGCCAGCUGUGAAGAUGCUUUAAAUACAUACAUACCUGUGUGCACCAUUAAUGUGUAGAUAUGAAUGACCGUUUAGUAACUUAAGGCCUUCUACAGUGAUCAACUUAUGAAUCCUACAUGAAGAAAUAGAAAUAAAUCAGGCACACAGUCAUAUUUACAGUUUAGUCUAAAGUUCUUUCAUGCAUAAAAAUUCAAAACAAUUAUGCACUUGAGUUUGAGAGUAAGUGAAAUUACAGAAUAUAUUCACUUAUGUUCUUACUUGAUUGUCUUCUACAGUUCUACUACUUUGUUUGUUUUUAUUACUUUGAUUUAUCCCCCCUCUAUCUAAGAUUUAAAUACACUGGAAGUAAAAAAUAGUCAUAUUAAAAAAAUAAAGCUGUCGGAAACAUUAUAUUUACAAGUUCAUUGAAUUAACUAAUGACUGGACCUUUGAACAAGAAAAGAAAACGUACUACAACAGGCCUUAAUUUCUAGCAGUACUGUUCUUUUGAAUCUACUGAUCAACCAGAAAAGUCCAGUAUUAUAGAAGCCUUUAAAAACAGCUGAAUUUUGCAGCACAGAAGUAGAAUAGAGAAAGAUUUUGUUAGGAGGAGAAAAAUUAUUGUCACUGUCAAUCAAAUUACAGCAGGUUUCAAAUUCCUACCACAACAAUUAUGGUAGCAUACUCUGAUUCUUUCAAAAUUUGGUUCAUGGCUUGGAUCAGGUUGAAAACCAGCAUAGCAGAUUAUGAAAAAAGUGUGGAAUAUUUUUUUGGGGGGGGUUAGGCUUGUCCUGAAAUGCUUCUUUGUUCUACACACUUUGAAGUCUGUGAGGUUGGAUCUCCCAGUCAUCAGCUGUGAAAGUUUACAAUAGCUAUUAGCACACUUUCAACAUAGAACAAAAAGAUGAUAGAGUUUAUUUACUAUUAAAAUUCAUGUUAUACCCCAUAAAAGUAAAGUCUUUGAUAGAGGGCAGUUUGCAUCUCCUUAUGCCAUCAGUAAUAGUUGCAACUAUAAUAAUUAUGCUUUCCCAUAGUGAAAAGUCCUCCUGAGUGAACAGGACUUUGUAAUGAAGUAAUUUGACAAUAAGCAAGAGUUAUACCUGUGCACACAGAACAGCAACAAAACCUCUUGAACACACAAUAGAGGAACAAGUGGAAUAUUAUAAAUGAGACAAUUUAUCUGGACUUUAAAAAAGUAUUUGAUAUAGUUCCUCAUGGAAAUUAUUUGUUAAAUCAGAGCACAUGGGGGAUAGCAAAAGAAUUAUAAAAUAAGCAAUUAACCAAGAGGAGUCAGGUUAUGGCAAAAAGGAUAACUGCCUGUCCAUCAGGAGCUGACCAGGACAAUUUUGACCUUGAAAUUUAUAACAGUCAGUAUUUUCUUUACUGACUAUAGCACAGAAAAAAAGCCAAACUAAUGAAUAUGCUGACAGCAUACACCUGGGAAUCUACUUCAUUAGGAAAGUGGACAAGAAAACCAUACAGAAAGAAUUAGAUGACCUUGGAAACAGAAGUAAUAUAAAUGAGUUGAAACUGAAUAGUAUAAUAUAGAAAGCUGUGCACAUAAGGACUAAGAAGAAGCUUAGAGCUCAUCAACAGCAAAAGAGAGAGGAUGAAAAAAACCCACAAACUAUCCUUGUCAAUAGGAUAGUUAUAAAUAUGCAACACAGUAUAAUUGUACAGUGUUAUGUAUAUAUGAACGCAUUUUUCUUAUAAAAUAUGUACGUGUGUAUAUAACAUACGUAUAUGUUUAUUGUUUAUCAUACAUUUAUCAUGCAUAUCAUACAAUUAUGUAGGAGAGAAAAGGUGUUAAGUUUCAUGAGGAAACUAUUGAUGCUGUUUUACAAGGUACUGGUAAGAAUUAACAUGAACUCAUACAUACACUAAUGUGGUCUACAAAUGGUUUUGGAUGGACAGAUUGUCAGUAACCCUCAAUUUUUUAAUGUAUAAUAAUAUAUCCUGCUGAGUUUUUGUGUUACUCAUCAAAUUGAACAGUGAUCU